rnacentral:rRNA from 1 species
AAGGCAGCAGGCGCGCAAAUUACCCAAUCCUGAUACAGGGAGGUAGUGACAAUAAAUAACAAUGCAGAGCCCUCUAGGUUUUGCAAUUGGAAUGAGUACAACUUAAAUCCCUUAACGAGAAUCAAUUGGAGGGCAAGUCUGGUGCCAGCAGCCGCGGUAAUUCCAGCUCCAAUAGCGUAUAUUAAAGUUGUUGCAGUUAAAAAGCUCGUAGUUGAAUUUUGGGCCUGACUGAGUGGUCUGGCCUCGUGUCAGCACUGCUCUGGUCGGGUCUUUCCUUCUGGGGAACCAUCUGCCCUUAAUUGGGUGUGUUGGGGAUCUAGGACUUUUACUUUGAAAAAAUUAGAGUGUUCAAAGCAGGCAUAAGCUUGAAUACAUUAGCAUGGAAUAAUAAAAUAGGACUUUGGUUCUAUUUUGUUGGCUUCUAGGACCGAAGUAAUGAUUAAUAGGGAUAGUUGGGGGCGUUAGUAUUUAAUUGUCAGAGGUGAAAUUCUUAGAUUUAUUAAAGACUAACUUCUGCGAAAGCAUUCGCCAAGGAUGUUUUCAUUAAUCAAGAACGAAAGUUAGGGGAUCGAAGACGAUCAGAUACCGUCGUAGUCUUAACCAUAAACUAUGCCGACUAGGGAUCGGACGAUGUAUACUAAAUGACUCGUUCGGCACCUUAUGAGAAAUCAAAGUUUUUGGGUUCCGGGGGGAGUAUGGUCGCAAGGCUGAAACUUAAAGGAAUUGACGGAAGA